GUCAGCGGACUGCUCGAGC
rnacentral:snRNA from 1 species